rnacentral:rRNA from 1 species
UGAGGAAUAUUGGACAAUGGAGGCAACUCUGAUCCAGCCAUGCCGCGUGCAGGAAGACUGCCCUAUGGGUUGUAAACUGCUUUUAUAGAGGAAGAAACCCCGGUAUGUAUACCGGUCUGACGGUACUCUACGAAUAAGGAUCGGCUAACUCCGUGCCAGCAGCCGCGGUAAUACGGAGGAUCCAAGCGUUAUCCGGAAUCAUUGGGUUUAAAGGGUCCGUAGGCGGGCUUGUAAGUCAGUGGUGAAAGUUUGCGGCUCAACCGUAAAAUUGCCAUUGAUACUGCAAGUCUUGAAUCAUUGUGAAGUGGUUAGAAUAUGUAGUGUAGCGGUGAAAUGCAUAGAUAUUACAUAGAAUACCGAUUGCGAAGGCAGAUCACUAACAAUGUAUUGACGCUCAGGGACGAAAGCGUGGGUAGCGAACAGGAUUAGAUACCCCCGUAGUCC